rnacentral:tRNA from 1 species
GCGCCAUUAACUCAGCUGGUAGAGUAUCUCCUUUUUAAGGAGAGGGCCCUUGGUUCGAGUCCAAGAUGGCGCA